rnacentral:rRNA from 1 species
CAGUGGCGAACGGGUGAGUAACACGUGGGCAAUCUGCCCUGCACUCUGGGACAAGCCCUGGAAACGGGGUCUAAUACCGGAUAUUACCUUCCUCUGCAUGGGGGUUGGUGGAAAGCUCCGGCGGUGCAGGAUGAGCCCGCGGCCUAUCAGCUUGUUGGUGGGGUAAUGGCCUACCAAGGCGACGACGGGUAGCCGGCCUGAGAGGGCGACCGGCCACACUGGGACUGAGACACGGCCCAGACUCCUACGGGAGGCAGCAGUGGGGAAUAUUGCACAAUGGGCGAAAGCCUGAUGCAGCGACGCCGCGUGAGGGAUGACGGCCUUCGGGUUGUAAACCUCUUUCAGCAGGGAAGAAGCGAAAGUGACGGUACCUGCAGAAGAAGCACCGGCUAACUACGUGCCAGCAGCCGCGGUAAUACGUAGGGUGCGAGCGUUGUCCGGAAUUAUUGGGCGUAAAGAGCUCGUAGGCGGCUUGUCACGUCGGUUGUGAAAGCCCGGGGCUUAACCCCGGGUCUGCAGUCGAUACGGGCAGGCUAGAGUUCGGUAGGGGAGAUCGGAAUUNCU